UAUCCCCCGGGAUACCACGUCAGUGCACUCAAUAAGCAAAUGGAGCUUGAUAAGAUGUGUAGGAUAUAUGUGCAAGGUUAAUGUUAGAAUUUCCGUUCAUCACCUGAACUAUUGUAAACUGGUCCCAUUACAAGAAUAGGGCAUGCACUGAAUCUGAAGAAUGUUACUAAUAAUGUACUGUAGAGUUACAGACAAGGCGGCUAGUUAAUGAACGACUCCUUUUUUUUUUGGGGUAGCCCAUCAUACAGUCCUCCUUACAAAGAUUAACGACUUCUGAGGGCCUGAACCCAACCAGACUAUAGUUUUACCAAAUUUUGCUAAAAAAAUCACUAGCCACAUUCUGACUACGACAAAUAUGAGUAACACAAGUCCUACGAAGAGACAUCAAAUGUUUGAUCUCUGCAACCAACGAAGCAUAAAGAGACCUGUCUGUUCCUAUACCAUUCACCAAUUUAACCGCUGACAGCGAAUCCAUCUCCACGCAUAUUGGCAAAUUCGAUCUCCGGAUUGAAAUUGAUAAACCCUCCAUGACCGCACAUUGUUCAGAUUCUAGUGCGUCUCGACAUGGGAAGAGUUGGCGACAAGACGAGAAAAUGAUGUUGCCCACAUGAUCUCUUAAUAACAUACCGCCUCCUGCAUUUCCUCCUUCCAUCCAUGAUCCAUCCGUGUUUAGUUUCGCCCAGCCCACCGAAAAAGUGAUCUCCUUGAGUACUACAACCAAACCUUUUCAUGCUAAUUUCAACAUGAACGACUCUUACCGAAAGCAAGAUCACACUUUUCCAUCAGAAAUAUGGAACCGAAGGUGUGAGUACGCAGAGAGCACUGCUCUAUACUAACUUUUAUUUCACUCAAGUUAUUUGUCCAUAGUGAUUGUUUCAUAGCACAACUACCGAUUUGUAUUGUGAUACGAAGGGUUUUCUAAUCAUGUGGGUUUUAUGUAAAAUUGCUUUGAACAAUUUGGAUUACGCAUCAAAUACUAUUAAUCCAAAAGGGACUUCGAGUUUUCACAUUUCAACGUACAGCUACAAUGGAAUAUAACAUGGUUACAAAUAUAUGAGAUACUUUUGGGAUAAGAUAACAAGUAAAGCCCAUGACCAUUUAAUGUUACUUUUGAUCUUCCUUGAGCGCCAAACUGGUAUGUCCACAGCAAGUAGUAAUACUAUAAUUUGAACAAUCAGAUAAGCUAGAUCAAUCCUAUGUAAGAAUUUUAGCAACCAGGACAUGAACAAAUCCACCAGAGAGCUACCAUUCAACCUCUGUGCUGCAUGCAAGCUAUCGAUUGAGGUAAGCAUGCCCUGAUGCUCACAUUUUAAGCAACCGGGACAUGGAUGCCGGGGCGACGGCCCCGGAUGGUGGUCCAUAUGGUGGCUUUCCGGAAGGCUCCAUGGCGGCAGUGGUGGCUACGCUUCUUGGUCGUCUGGAUGGUGCGGGUGUGGCGGUGGGUGGUUCGGGCAAACUUUCUGUCCUUAGGAGUGGUGUUGCCCAGAUCCGGAUCUAGAGGCCUGCUCUCGCGGCGGCUGGUCUGGGUGUCUCAAGGUGUCACGGGUGAGCUGCCGAGCGAAAGCUCCGCGCUUUGGCGCUAGCGGCGAGGAUAUCUGUGGGUGUCGUCAUCUUCUUGAAGACGUCGUCGUGGUUCUCCUCCCCGUGGCGAGUCUCCCGUGAAAACCCUUGUCCUAUUUGGGCUCGGCAGCGGCGGUUCUUGCGUUCCCCUUCUGAGGGCAUUGUCGUGGAAGCUAGGUGUCCUAGCUCGUGUCGUGGCGUUGUAAUCUGGCCAUUUUGUGCUUAGGUGUUUGGCAGUGUAGUCAUGUUCGGUUAUGUUGUUCAGUUAUUUAGGGAUUUGUUGUGUCAUAGGGCUACCUCACCACAUUAUAUCGUUAUGCUGUGUAACUGGGUGUUGUUGCUUUAUAUAUAAAGCGAGGACGAGAGCUUGUUUUGAGAAAUUCUUAAUACGUUAAGCUCUUGCAUAUUGUUUUCUCGUUAUCCAUGAUCUGCUUUCGGAUACUCACCAAUUUGUUUUCCAUGUGUUGCAGCUACCAAACUUUUCUCUAGAAAAUGCUUUUUUUAAUAAAAGGAAGACCAGUGUCUACCUUAUGCAUUUCAAAACAUGCGAAAGCCUUAUGACCAAAGGUCGAUUACAUGAACAAAUUUGCAUGCCAUCCAAGUUCCUUUGAAAGUGCCCUGCUUGCAAAGUUGUUUUCUAGCAACUCUACUCUCUCGAGUCGAGAUAUUUUCUUCUGUUUGAAAGUUAACUACUUCCUCAGUUCCAUAUUACUUGUCACUCAAACGGAUGUAUUUAGCACUGACAUAUGUUUAGAUACAUCCAUUUCGGCGACAAGUAAUAUAGAUCAGAGGGAAUAAUAGAAUUGCAGUUUUAAUUAAAGUUUCCUGUGACGUAACACUCUCACGGUUUAUAUAACACACUGGUGGUCUUAGAGUUACAUAACUAGGUAUGCUACGUCGGCCGAGAUAGUGUCCUCCACGGCUCCAAUAUACUUGGAUUCUACUCCAAGUCUUGUGAAAUCUUGACGUAUCUUUCCAUGGGGCACCCAGUGUGGUCCAGGGUGAAACUGACUUGGUGGUCCUCGUCCCGGCCCAUCGGGCUGGGAGCCUUCAUGAUGAGAGGUUCUAAAUGGGGACAUCGACUGUAGCCCAUGAAUCUGUCUACAGGCUUGGCUGCACCUCGGGUCCUCCUAACUGCACAUGUCGGCGAGCUUGAAGUUAUUUCAACGAAGCGUACCCCAUACAGUGUCUUCACGCAGCCGGCUUCCAUUUGAUGAGCUGCCUCCGAGGUGAAGUAGAACACCUCGGUCUUGAAAAUGUUGAAGGAGCUGGCCGACCUACGCAUAGGAAGGAAUUCCCGCAUAGCCAGCUAUUUGGCGCGAGAACUUCACACGUUGUGACUCAAAAGUCAUCUUGGUUGGUUCUCACAAGCCAGACCGGUCUUAUCCACGGGCCCACCAGACCGCGUGUCGGCCUUUGACUUGACUAUGUAGGUAGCGUGCAAGAGUGAGCAAGGAGCCCGCCGAGGCCACGUCCCAUCGCAAGUGGGCGUGCGCCACGAUUCCCGCAUGAGGGAUAAAGGCGACCCCUCGAUCUCGGCACAUCAUUAACACCGAAAUGAGCGGAUGGAAGGGGAUUUGAGGGCAAAUAGCUCCCAUGCGACGUCGUUGGUGUGAAUUGUCUCUCAUGCGACGUCGUUGGUUGUAAUGGCUCUCAUGCGACGUCUCCCAGCGCAGAAAUAGCUCAAGCAAGACAACCCGUUUAUGCGGCUAGUUGGCUGUUAGUUAGGCUGAGGUUUGGUUAGGACACCGGGGGUUAUGUGCUCUGACUGGUGGGGUCCACCUAGAGCCACGUAGUCAAGAGUUAACCGUCCACGACUCGACCGGUGACUGUGCGACCGUGCCCGUGCUGGACUGAGCGAACGGCGCCGCCAUAAGCAUCUUCUCCGGCAGCGGUUUCUUCUCCGCGGUGGUGGAGCGCAUUUCUCGGUAGCGGCAGAGCUAUUGCGAGUGAGCCCGAAACCCUAGUCCCACUUCCCAGAAUUUUGGGGGAUCUGUGGCCUCAUGCUGCCCCUCUGUGCCCGUUUCUUGGCGAUUUAGAAUCUUGAUUGGAUCCGGGGGCUGUUUCUUCUCCGCGGCCCCUUUCACGGCAGCGGCUAUUGCGAGUGAGUAUUUUCCAAACUCUAGUCCCAUUCCCCAGAAUUUUGGAUAAAUCUGUGGCCUCAUGCUGCCCCUGUUUCUUGGCGUUUUAGAAUCUCGAUUAGAUAGGAGCGCGGGGGAUGAAUGAGAUGGAGCGAGGAGACAGUGCUUACACUGCUGCCGCUGCCUGCCAUUGACAAAACAGGGGAGGUUCAGGUUCUGCCACCACAUUCGCAAUUAUAGUGGAAUUUUUUCCCUGUAAAGCCAAGCUCAGUGAUGGCAGUGUCCAAGACAUUGAUAGAGAUACCACCGUGAGGUUGGAUGUCGAAUUUGCAGAUGUUGAUCCCCAGGAAUUGGAGAGCAUGAAGGAGAAGGCCGUGGGCAAUUUGGUGGAGAGAAUUGGGGAGAGUAUUGUUUGGGGUCCAGAACAAGAGGUAUCUCUGCAACGUUUCGAUAACUAUAAUGGUGAAUAUGUGAGAAUUGAAGAUGGAGAAUCCAUGGUUGCUGAAAUUGAUCAGCAAGAAGGGUGGGCAAGCAAACAAGUAACAUUUUAUGCUGAGCUAAUUGAUCUGCAAACUCAUUCCAGAGUUGGUUAUGUGCCAUCAAAGAUGGUUGCACAGGUGGAAGAUAAUGAGUGGGUUUCACAAAAAAAGAUGUUGGCAUUGUUGACUGAACCGACUGUAGUAGCUGAAGAUACAGGGAUUGAUGCAGAUGGAGAGGAGGGAACCCAUGGUGCUAGGAAGAUUGUUGUUGACUGGAAUGUAGUAGAGUUGAAUGAAAAAACAGAUUUGGUCAUUACACCAAUAUCUGACAUUGAUAUGGCCGAAAUGUUUGGCAUUCAAGUUGAUGACAAAGAUAAGGAGAAGGAUGACAGUUCUUUGCCUGCUGAUGGUAACACAUGCCCUAGAAAUGCAAAUGAGGAUGAAGAAGAGCUGAUGAGAGAGGCUGCAGAUGAUGUGGAUGAUGCAGAUGAUAAUGAGUUGGUUUGUUUGUAUGACAAAGAGAACCCAGUUAUUGAGGUGGGAAAGUUGUGGCCAAGCAUGAAGGAGUUUAGGAUGUCUUUCAGGACCUAUGCAGUGAAAAAAGAAUUUGAUGCCAAGACUAUGUGGACUGAUCGAAAGAAAUUUUAUGCUCGGUGCAAAGGUUAUGAUGGUGGUGGCAAUCCUUGCAAAUGGUACUUGUCUGCCAGACUACAACCUGAUGGAAGUACAGUAAGGGUAAAUCAAACACCACACCAGCAUACAUGUAUGACCACUUCACAGAGAGUUUCAAAGAUGACAUCAAAGCUUUGGGUUACAGAGAAGAUUACUCCUAUUUUAGCCAAGACUCCAAACACUACUGCAAAGAGGCUUAAAGUUGACUUGGAGAAGCUGUACCCCAUCCAGCUGCAAUAUACCACAGUGUGGAAAGCAAAACAAAGGGCCAUGAAAUCAUUGUAUGGUGACUGGGCAAAUACAUUUAGAAUGUUGUAUAGUUUUAAAGCAGAGGUGGAGAAGAGGUCACCUGGAAGUGUGGUGGAGAUAGAUACAGAGGUAACAGAGGAUGGCAAGGUUUUUUUCAGCAAGUUUUUUAUGUGUUUGAAGCCUUGCAUAGAUGGAUUCAAAGCAGGUUGUCGUCCAUAUUUGAGCAUAGACUCAUCUUUUUUGACUGGAAAGUGGAAUGGUCAGUUGGCUGCAUGCAAUGCUCUAGAUGGACACAACUGGAUGUUCCCAAUUGCAAUAGGAAUGUUUCAAUCAGAGACAGAGGCAUCAUGGAUAUGGUUCAUGAUGCAACUGAAAAGAUGCAUAGAGCCAGUUUCUCCUUUGGCCAUCCACACAGAUGCAUGUAAAGGGUUGGAAAAUGCAGUAAAAAAUGUUUUCCCCCAUGCUGAGCAGAGGGAGUGCUUUGGACAUAUGUGGAUGAAUCUGAUAAAAAAAUUCAGAGGAGAUGAAUUUGGGCGCAUGUGGCCAGCAGCAAGAUCCUACACCAGACAGACACAUGCCUAUCACCUUGGUUAGAUAUUGGCAUCAUGCAGUGAUAAUGAAUUUGCUUCAUGGUUGAACACACACCAUUCUCUGUUGUGGUAUAGAUCAGGUUUUAAUACUGCCAUAAAAUGUGAUCAUAUCAAUAACAACUUGGCAGAAAGUUUUAACAACAAAGUGAAGGAUUUGAAAGACUUGCCUGUGCAUGACAUGGUGGACCAAAUAAGGAUCAUGAUCAUGCGUUUGUGGGAGUUGAGAGGAAAAAUUGCUAAUAUUUUGAAAGGGGACAAGCUUCCAGCAGUGGUACAACAGGUGGUCAACAGGAGUAGAAAUCUUUCACAUCUAUCUGUUGAGAAAUCUUCCUUGUGGGGUGCUGAAGUUAGAGAUACAAACAGUGGCAAGAGGCAUGUGGUAAAUACUGAGUUGCAUGAGUGCACUUGCCAAGAGUGGCAACACACUGGAAAACCAUGUGAGCAUUCCAUACUUUUUUUGGCAUCUAAACCCAGGUUAAAUAUGCACCCAUAUUUGCAUGAGUAUUAUUCAGUACAAAAAUUCAAAGCUGCAUAUGCAAGUCCAAUUCCUGCACUGACUGACCAAUCUCAGUGGCCUGAGGUGGAAAUAGAAUUUACCUUGUGUCCCCCUGUCACUAGAAGAAAGGCUGGGAGGCCAAAACAGAGCAGAUUCAAAGCUUGGUUUGAGAAAGGUGGUUGUAGUAAGAAGGGGAAAAAGGAAAAGGAAAAGAAUGGUAAGCCCAAAAGGGCUCAAAAAGGUAACAAAAAUAGGUGCAAGUUGUGUGAGGUACUUGGGCAUAGAGUUGGUUCAUCCAAAUGCAUCUACACUCCUCAGAGGCCAAAGUAUGUUUAUGUUACUGUUUUUGCAAGUUUUUGAUUUUGCUACUUGUUCUAGUAUCUAACCAAGUGAAAUGCUUUACUUUUUAGGAGGAAGCGUGCAGAAAAAGCCCCACCUCUUGUUGUUGAACAGUGCUGGCCAGUGAAAAAAGCAAGACUCAAUGGCUUUAGAAGGAAGAGCACUAAGCAGAUAAUGUUUGGUGACAAAGAUAUGGAGCAAACUGAAACUGUUACUGCUGAACAUGAGCUAAGUGUUUCUGUUUUGGACGAUGUGAUGCAUACUGAAUCUGUUUUGCAGGCGCUAGGGCAAUCUGAAACUGUUGCAGAUGAAGCAACUGUUGUGCUGCCAUGCGAAUCUGCUUUGACAGCUGUGUUGCCAUGUUUGGAGGUUGUGCUGCCAAGUGUUGAGUUGCAAACUGAAGUAGUUGAACAAUGUGUGCCAUCUACUCAAGCUGCAGAAGUGCAAACUGAAGAAGUGGGACAUGGUGAGGGGCAAAAGUUGAGGGGGCCUAGUGGAGUUGGCAACAAAACCAAGGGGCCAAAAAGCAAGAGCAUCAGCAUCAACAAACUAUGCGCCGUGGAACCAAACGGUGGAAAAAAGGAGAAGAAAUCGAGUGGUAGAAAGAAGCAAAAGAAAUAGAGUCGAAAUCAUUCAAAUUUGAUGUGAAAACUUAUGUUUGUUGUCAUUUGAUGUGAAAACUUAUGUUCUUUCAUGUGAAAACUUAUGUGCUAUGAUGUUGAUUUGACUUGAAAUAAAAUUCAAAUUUGAACCUAUCUCCAAUAUUUUUGGAGUUCAUUUGUUUGUUCUGUGAUGUUGCAUUGUUUUAUGUACUACUAUGCACUUUAGUUCAUAAAUCCAACCCUUUUUGUGAAGUCCAACUCAUAGUUACUGAAAAUGUUGUCCAAACAGGCUCCAAAGUAAGGGAAAACGACCCCAUUUCUAAGCAAGUUUUUUUCGAUCUUCUCAAAAUCACAAAAAAAAUUUCUUAGCUUAUAUUAUACCUAUAUAGGAUCAAUACGAAGUCUCACCUUUUUUUUGAA
rnacentral:lncRNA from 1 species